GCAGUCGAACGGUAACAGGAAGAUGCUUGCUGCUUUGCUGACGAGUGGCGGACGGGUGAGUAAUGUCUGGGAAACUGCCUGAUGGAGGGGGAUAACUACUGGAAACGGUAGCUAAUACCGCAUAACGUCACAAGACCAAAGAGGGGGACCUUCGGGCCUCUUGCCAUCGGAUGUGCCCAAAUGGGAUUAGCUUGUAGGUGGGGUAACGGCUCACCUAGGCG
rnacentral:rRNA from 1 species